UACGUAGGGGGGCAAGCGUUGUCCGGAUUUAUUGGGCGUAAAGCGCGUGUAGGCGGUCCGGUAAGUCCGCUGUGAAAGUCGGGGGGCUCAACCCUCGGAUGCCGGUGGAUACUGUCGGGCUUGAGUACGGAAGAGGCGAGUGGAAUUCCUGGUGUAGCGGUGAAAUGCGCAGAUAUCAGGAGGAACACCAAUUGCGAAGGCAGCUCGCUGGGACGUUACUGACGCUGAGACGCGAAAGCGUGGGGAGCAAACAGG
rnacentral:rRNA from 1 species